UACAGUUCAAUAGCCCUGCUAUUGACAUAGAGGGAUGGGUAAUCAGAUUUCCUCCAGGAAAAUCUUCCCUUCCACUAGGACGUUGGCUGAGUAAUGAUCAGCUUCAACAUAUAGUGGUUGAUGAAUCUAAGUGCGUGUUUCACUGAAAAUUGUUCACUUUUCUUUCUUUAUGUUUGUUGUAUUGAUUUUGAAAGAAAGAGGCUUUAUUGGACAGUUGAGGUGAUGUGCUUAAGAAACCUGGGUUAGCUUGAUUCAGUCUUUCAUUCUGACUUUCUAUCUCUGAUUCUCUAACAAUCCCUUUAUUCUGUUUCAAUCCUGAACAGACUGAAAUCACUAGGUCAACAUAUAGAGACAGCAGGAGUGAGAACCAAUUAAUCGACUGCAUUGUGUGUUAAUGGACCAAAACCUGCACAGGCUAAGAAGCAAGAAUGGAAAAAUUGCUGACAAGGGACUGUGCGGGUACUUCAAAUCACAGUACACUACUUCAAUUAAUCGCUGGUUGGAGAAGGCUGGAAGGGAAGAAUGCACAGCAAUGGAACAUCUACUGAGAUAAUUUACUAAAGAUUUGGGAUAUGUGCAAAUACAAGGUCCUCGUUUUCAGCAAACCAGAAGUGCCUAUAUGUGGGAGAUGACCCCUAAACCACAUUGCUAUGAUUAUCAGAUUCAUCCAGAAUGGGUGACACAGCCAUGGCACAAACAGUAUAGACAAAGUCAAACAUGAACCUUGCACUUUAACAUAAUCCAUGAUGCUGUAAGGAGAUAAGGUUAGGUUCAAGAUG